rnacentral:rRNA from 1 species
CCUACGGGAGGCAGCAGUAGGGAAUCUUCCACAAUGGGCGAAAGCCUGAUGGAGCAACGCCGCGUGGGUGAAGAAGGUCUUCGGAUCGUAAAACCCUGUUGUUAGAGAAGAAAGUUCGUGAGAGUAACUGUUCACGUUUCGACGGUAUCUAACCAGAAAGCCACGGCGAACUACGUGCCAGCAGCCGCGGUAAUACGUAGGUGGCAAGCGUUAUCCGGAUUUAUUGGGCCUAAAGGGAACGCAGGCGGGCUUUUAAGUCUGAUGUGAAAGCCUUCGGCUUAACCGGAGUAGUGCAUUGGAAACUGGGAGACGUGAGUGCAGAAGAGGAGAGUGGAACUCCAUGUGUAGCGGUGAAAUGGGUAGAGAUAUGGAAGAACACCAGGGGCGAAAGCGGCUCUCUGGUCUGGAACUGACGCUGAGGUUCGAAAGCGUGGGUAGCAAACAGGAUUAGAUACCCGGGUAGU